GCCUCGGUGGCACAAUUGGUUAGCGCGUGGGCCUUUUAAGAAAAGAUUUCAUCUCCUUAAUGGGAAGCCCAAGGUUGAGGGUUCAAGCCCCUCCCGAGGCG